GAUGAACGCUAGCGGGAGGCUUAACACAUGCAAGUCGAGGGGCAGCAUAGGGUAGCAAUACUCUGAUGGCGACCGGCAAACGGGUGAGUAACGCGUAUGCAACCUACCCUGUACAGGGGGAUAACCCGGAGAAAUUCGGACUAAUAUCCCGUAAUAAUAUCCGGAGGCAUCUUUGGAUAUUUAAAGUUCCGACGGUACGGGAUGGGCAUGCGUAACAUUAGCUGGUUGGUAAGGUAACGGCUUACCAAGGCUAUGAUGUUUAGGGGUCCUGAGAGGGUGGUCCCCCACACUGGUACUGAGACACGGACCAGACUCCUACGGGAGGCAGCAGUGAGGAAUAUUGGUCAAUGGGCGCAAGCCUGAACCAGCCAUCCCGCGUGCAGGAAGACGGCCCUAUGGGUUGUAAACUGCUUUUCCAGGGGGAGAAACUUUCCGAUGCAUCGGGAUUUGACGGUACCCUGGGAAUAAGCAUCGGCUAACUCCGUG
rnacentral:rRNA from 1 species